AUUCCGCUGAAUUUAAGCAUAUAAGUAAGUGGUGGAAAUUAAACCAACUGGGAUCUCUUCAGUAAUUGCGCAUGAACCAGGAUAUGCUUAGCUUGACAAAUGGAGCUGCUGGCUCUGAAUUGUAUUGUGGGAAUGUAUUACCAACAGAGGUGCAGGUGUCAGCCAUUUGAAAGAAAGCAUCAAUGAGGGUGAGAGUCCUGUUUGUCAUGUGCAGCCUUCUGUGCACGGUGUAUAUUUGCUGAGUCACACUCCUUGGCAUUGGAAUGCAAAGUGGGUGGUAAGUUUCAUGCAAAGGUAAAUAUGCAAUUGAGACUGAUAGCGCACAAGUACCAUGAGGGACAUAUGAAAAGGACUUUGAAAAGAGAAUUAAAUGAGUUUGUAUUUGCUAAACACAAAGUAAACAGACUUGAUUUCCUCAGUGAGAUUGUAGUGCUUGCUUAACAAUGGGUUUUGGCUGCAAGUGCAAUAAUUCUUGCUUUGUGUGCCAGUUUUUAUGUGGACAUUUGAUUACCUUUGCACAUGAAUGGUAAUUUUCCUGCGGGGUGUGGAUUGCAUAUGCAUGUAAUGAUUUGCAUGUUUGUUAAAUGUGUCUGGUGUAUUUGUUUGUGUCCUUGUCCUUGAGGUUGCUUUCUCCCUUGGGCUUACAUGCCCUGGCACACACAUUCUGGCAAAAUGCUUCUGCUUGACCCGUCUUGAAAAU
rnacentral:rRNA from 1 species